GGAUAAAGUUAAUAAAAUUGUAAUUUGGUUUUCAUGACAGAAUAAUGCUUUUUUGUAUGAAAGCAUAUACUUUUUAUGGUGUAAUAGGGUUCAAUGAUGCAGGUGAAAAGUGGCCAAUGUAAACUCGUAUUUUAUUUUCGUCCAGGUGCAGACGGUAGACAAGCAGACCAUAGGCCGCUUGGACAAGUGUGGGGUGAAGUCUCCUGGCCACCACGCCUUCCUGACGUUCCCUCUCGACCUCCACGCCAAGUACAAGGCCGCCCUCAUCGCCAGCAGCUUCCUCAUAGUUUCCGGGAUCACUAAAGAGCUGCGCAAGCGCAAACGAAGGGUCAAUAAUGGCGAUAGCUAAUUAAAAAGUGUUUGGAUGGACUUUCGCGGUGUGGAUGAGGAUGUUUGUUUUAUUUAAUUAUAAAAAUAAAUUUUAUUUUAUCAAAUUAUGAUUAAAAUGUAUUCUCAUUUUGUGUAUCUCUCAUAAUAUCUAUGUAGGAUUAACGAGUUUUGUGUGUAACGGAAUGAUAGGAUGGAUGAAAGAUAGUUUAUAAUUUGAACGCUGAAUGAUUGGUCUAUAGAGGAAACGAAAGGGAUGAAUGAGGAUCGAGGAUUGAGAGUGAGAAAAGUAGUUUAAAAGUUUAAAAGAGGAGUCUGUUUUUAUGCAGGGAGUGUGUUGUGGACGACGUAAGACGGAAGACGAACUAGUUGUAUAAUUAUUAUAGUAAAAGACGUGUAAUACUAUUCUAGUGAAGAAAAAUAUAUCCAGUUAUCAGCUUUA